UACGAAGGGGGCUAGCGUUGCUCGGAAUCAUUGGGCGUAAAGCGCGUGUAGGCGGCUCGUUAAGUCCGGUGUGAAACCUUGGGGCUCAACCCCAAGCCUGCACUGGAUACUGACGAGCUCGAGUCCGGGAGGGGAGAGCGGAAUUCCUAGUGUAGCGGUGAAAUGCGCAGAUAUUAGGAAGAACACCGGUGGCGAAGGCGGGUCACUGGGCCGU
rnacentral:rRNA from 1 species